rnacentral:rRNA from 1 species
GGCGUAAAGAGCUCGUAGGCGGUUUGUCACGUCUGCUGUGAAAUUCCGAGGCUCAACCUCGGACUUGCAGUGGGUACGGGCAGGCUAGAGUGCGGUAGGGGAGAUGGGAAUUCCUGGUGUAGCGGUGGAAUGCGCAGAUAUCAGGAGGAACACCAAUGGCGAAGGCACAUCUCUGGGCCGUAACUGACGCUGAGGAGCGAAAGCGUGGGGAGCGAACAGGAUUAGAUACCCUGGUAGUCCACGCCGUAAACGGUGGGUGCUAGCUGUGGGCCACAUUCCACGUGGUCCGUGACGAAGUUAACACAUUAAGCACCCCGCCUGGGGAGUACGGCCGCAAGGCUAAAACUCAAAGGAAUUGACGGGGGCCCGCACAAGCGGCGGAGCAUGCGGAUUAAUUCGAUGCAACGCGAAGAACCUUACCAAGGCUUGACAUAUAGAGGAAAAGUGCAGAAAUGUACUCCCCGCAAGGUCUCUAUACAGGUGGUGCAUGGUUGUCGUCAGCUCGUGUCGUGAGAUGUUGGGUUAAGUCCCGCAACGAGCGCAACCCUCGUCCUAUGUUGCCAGCACGUAAUGGUGGGAACUCAUGGGAUACUGCCGGGGUCAACUCGGAGGAAGGU